rnacentral:rRNA from 1 species
AACGAACGCUGGCGGCAUGCCUAACACAUGCAAGUCGAACGAGACCUUCGGGCCUAGUGGCGCACGGGUGCGUAACGCGUGGGAACCUGCCCUUAGGUUCGGAAUAACUCCCCGAAAGGGGUGCUAAUACCGGAUAAUGUCUUCGGACCAAAGAUUUAUCGCCUUUGGAUGGGCCCGCGUUGGAUUAGCUGGUUGGUAGGGUAAAAGCCUACCAAGGCGACGAUCCAUAGCUGGUCUGAGAGGAUGAUCAGCAACAAUGGGACUGAGACACGGCCCAGACUCCUACGGAAGGCAGCAGUGGGGAAUAUUGGACGAUGGGCGAAAGCGUGAUCCAGCAAUGCGGCGUGAGUGAUGAAGGCCUUAGGGUUGUAAAGCUCUUUUACCCGGGAUGAUAAUGACAGUACCGGGAGAAUAAGCUCCGGCUAACUCCGUG